AUUGAACGCUGGCGGCAUGCUUUACACAUGCAAGUCGAACGGUAACAGGCCGCAAGGUGCUGACGAGUGGCGAACGGGUGAGUAAUGCAUCGGAACGUGCCCAGUCGUGGGGGAUAACUGCUCGAAAGAGCAGCUAAUACCGCAUACGAUCUAUGGAUGAAAGCGGGGGACCGUAAGGCCUCGCGCGAUUGGAGCGGCCGAUGUCAGAUUAGGUAGUUGGUGGGGUAAAGGCUCACCAAGCCAACGAUCUGUAGCUGGUCUGAGAGGACGACCAGCCAAACUGGGACUGAGACACGGCCCAGACUCCUACGGGAGGCAGCAGUGGGGAAUUUUGGACAAUGGGGGCAACCCUGAUCCAGCAAUGCCGCGUGCAGGAAGAAGGCCUUCGGGUUGUAAACUGCUUUUGUACGGAACGAAACGGUCUGGGUUAAUACCCUGGGCUAAUGACGGUACCGUAAGAAUAAGCACCGGCUAACUACGUGCCAGCAGCCGCGGUAAUAC
rnacentral:rRNA from 1 species